UACGUAGGGGGCGAGCGUUGUCCGGAGUUACUGGGCGUAAAGCGUGCGCAGGCGGUCUGUUAAGACCGAUGUGAAAUCCCCGGGCUUAACCUGGGAACUGCAUUGGUGACUGGCAGGCUUUGAGUGUGGCAGAGGGAGGUAGAAUUCCACGUGUAGCAGUGAAAUGCGUAGAGAUGUGGAGGAAUACCGAUGGCGAAGGCAGCCUCCUGGGCCAACACUGACGCUCAUGCACGAAAGCGUGGGGAGCAAACAGG
rnacentral:rRNA from 1 species